CAAAACUGAGCAACAUACUGUAUUGCUGGUGACAAAAACACAUUAAAACUUUUUUAGCUGUAAAAUGCGCAAUGGUUCUUUUUUUACUUUUUCAUUGAUUUUUAUUUUUUUCAUAGGCCUAGAUUUAAUUCAAUAUAAUUCAAUAUCAAGUCCUUGGCACAUAACUGUAACACAUUUUCACAUUAAGAAACAAUUUAGUUUAAAUAAAAAGAACAAAAAAUAUAUACAAAUAAAUAAAUAAAUUAUUUAUUAGCGAUAGGCCUACAGAUUUAUUUUUUUUUAUUUAUUUUUUAUUUUUUUACUUUAGACUCUAAAGUUAAAAGUUUUUAUUAAGGCUAUUGUAAAGGCUUCUUAAAAAUGAUGUCGCUGAUGAGCCUCUGAUCGCUGUCAGAUUCUGUGAUAUGAAUGUCCGCUAAUGGGUUUAGAAUGAGCCCCGCUCGGCCCGUGUUCUGGCUUACUGUAAUAUUUCACUUGUAAUAAGACCGAAAUAAUAUAAUUAAAAUAAAGAAAUGAAUGAAUACAUGAUAACAUCUAAAUAAAUGUUGAUAGAUUUAGCGUUAUAGUUUUAAAAAUAUUAAUAAACAGCAAAUCAACACAGAAAGACCUAAAUAAUAAUAAUACAUAAUUAAUAAAUAGCGCCGCCCCUCCCACUACGCGCAUCACGCGCUGUGCGUCAACCCCAAAGCGUCAAAAACUGAAGCGUGGUCAAGCGCCUCUAGCGUCACUGACAUGAGAUGUUUAUCGCUUUGAAAUCACGUUCAAGAAGUCUCAUUCAGCACACAUCGCGAUACUUUCCAUCAGUUUGCAAGAGCCGCAGGUUGGGUGAGUUAUACAGUCUAUGGUGAGUAGUAGUAAAUAUGCUCUUUUAAUGCCUGUCAUAAAACGUAUUCUGUCUUCUUUAUUAAUCAGAUGAGCGCCUUAUGUUUACUCUCUGUAUUACAUCGGUCAUCCGAGGCUGUCUUUGAGUUUCAUUGUGUUUAACUAAAUGAGCACAGCUGCUAACUGGUUAAACUCUAUCGGUCACGUGACGUGCCACAGACCUGGGAUCGUUUUAUAUUCAUUUCAGGUUCAAAGAUCUGAAAAGACGUAAAGUAAGCAGUCACCCCAGUGGUGUUUGUGGAGAGGUAUUCCUUCAGAAAUGGAGAAGACAGAAAGCUGCAGAGGCAGGAUUGUUUCCAGAUAACACUGUAGAUCUCCCUCAUGCACAAGGACUCACCUCUUUAACUCUUUAACCCCCCCCCACACACACACACAGAAAUGGUUCCUGGAUCAGUGACUCAAGACUUUGCAGUGGUUUGAUUUCUGCAGAAGAUGUAACUUUGUUUUAAUUAACCUUAUAAUGAAUACAUUGUGACCUUCCAGCAACCCAUAUACUGUACUGUAUACAGAACCAGUGAUGACAACAAUAGUUAAAAAAUAGCAUUUAUCAUAUUGAUAAAGCAUUGUGUUCUCUUUGUCAAGCUUCAUACAGUAAACUUUACUUCUGGUGCUUUUAUCAUAAAAAAGCUUCAGUUCUGAUCAGGAGUUUUAGUAAAGGACAUAUUCAUGCACAGCAAUCCCCUAGUUCCAGUCAUGAAGUGAAUGAUGUUAUUGUUAAAGUUAUAUUUCUGCAUUUUUAUGUAGCAGGUGUUUGUUUUCCUGAACACUUUAUCUUUCUUCCAUUGUUCAGACAAUCAGUGUUUACGUGAUGCUCUGCUGAUUGAGUUUUAUAGAUGAUAUUGCACACUUGACAUGCAUG